rnacentral:rRNA from 1 species
AUUGAACGCUGGCGGCAGGCCUAACACAUGCAAGUCGAACGGUAACAGGAAGAAGCUUGCUUCUUUGCUGAUGAGUGGCGGACGGGUGAGUAAUGUCUGGGAAACUGCCUGAUGGAGGGGGAUAACUACUGGAAACGGUAGCUAAUACCGCAUAACGUCGCAAGACCAAAAAGGGGGACCUUCGGGCCUCUUGCCAUCGGAUGUGCCCAGAUGGGAUUAGCUAGUAGGUGGGGUAACGGCUCACCUAGGCGACGAUCCCUAGCUGGUCUGAGAGGAUGACCAGCCACACUGGAACUGAGACACGGUCCAGACUCCUACGGGAGGCAGCAGUGGGGAAUAUUGCACAAUGGGCGCAAGCCUGAUGCAGCCAUGCCGCGUGUAUGAAGAAGGCCUUCGGGUUGUAAAGUACUUUCAGCGGGGAGGAAGGGAGUAAAGUUAAUACCUUUGCUCAUUGACGUUACCCGCAGAAGAAGCACCGGCUAACUCCGUG